AUCGGAUUCCAAAGAUGGGUAAACUAAACCAGGAACAAAAAAUAGCUUUUAUUGCAGCAGUAUUAAACAGGAGUUUGAGGGAGGGGAAAAAACAAGGCUGGAUUAAAGCACAGGCUCACUGCAGGCCAGUGCCGAGGACCCCUGCUCCUGGACUGAUGUGAUCACAUCAGAAUCUCAACUUCAUUUUAAAAAAGGCAAGAACAGGGAUUCAGAAUUGCUGCUUUCUGUAGACUACAAUGGACUUCUUACUCCCCUCGAUCCCAAUAUAUGCUCCUGGAACAGAAGUCAGGAUCUACUGAAAAGGAAGAGGAAGGAAGGCCUUCCUUACGCUCGAGUACCGGCUGAAAGGACUGCUAUAUCAGGAGGUCAGAGCUGCUUGGAAGAGAGCUGAGGCCUGCAAUAAAAUGAACUGUGGAGGAGGACGAGACAAAAGAGGAAAAGAAAGGGAGACGAGGAGGACAAAGCAAGAGGAGAGAAGAUGAGAAGGGCACCCGAUCAACUACAAAUGGCACACAGGGAUAGAUCACAGUGCAGAAUCAGGCAGAAUGUGUCUCUCUAAAGAGCAUAUACAGUGUGUUCGGAUACACACCCUGAAGGGCGGAAUAGCUCCAGUUAAAUGCUGCACUGACUACCAGUUCCAGUAUUUUUUUAACAUGUAUAUUAUUUACUCAGUGAUCCAGGUCUCAUUUAAUUAGGUAAAUAUUAAAACCAUGCCAGAAAAUAGGGGAUUUUUUCUUUUACUACUGAGAAAAGUGGGAUUUAAAAAAGCGUUAAUGAAAAAAUACUGGUGUUUUAGCCUAGGGCAAGUUUUUACAGCCAAGAUAUAAACUACCGGUAAUAGAGAUUUAUAAUUGACACAUUCUAACUAGAGAACCAAUGUAAAACGAUACACAUACAAAUUAAUCUAAACUGCUACUAUCUCUGUAAAACCACUACUAGGGAUCCGAUUUCAUGACUAAGAAAUAUUUUAAGUAUAUUGUAAAUAGAAUUUACUUACGGUACUUAAAAAUAAUAAAAACGUAAGCACAAUUUUUACUUUUGAACAUAAGGACAAGUUUGUCACCUCCCUGUCUAAACCCCCCCCCGUUCAAUAUAGUACAUUUAUCCUUUAUAAUUCAAUGUGUAUUGCCACAU